rnacentral:rRNA from 1 species
AGUGAACGCUGGCGGUAGGCCUAACACAUGCAAGUCGAACGGCAGCACAGUAAGAGCUUGCUCUUACGGGUGGCGAGUGGCGGACGGGUGAGGAAUACAUCGGAAUCUACUUUUUCGUGGGGGAUAACGUAGGGAAACUUACGCUAAUACCGCAUACGACCUAUGGGUGAAAGCAGGGGAUCUUCGGACCUUGCGCGAUUGAAUGAGCCGAUGUCGGAUUAGCUAGUUGGCGGGGUAAAGGCCCACCAAGGCGACGAUCCGUAGCUGGUCUGAGAGGAUGAUCAGCCACACUGGAACUGAGACACGGUCCAGACUCCUACGGGAGGCAGCAGUGGGGAAUAUUGGACAAUGGGCGCAAGCCUGAUCCAGCCAUACCGCGUGGGUGAAGAAGGCCUUCGGGUUGUAAAGCCCUUUUGUUGGGAAAGAAAAGCAGCAGGGUAAUACCCCGCUGUUCUGACGGUACCCAAAGAAUAAGCACCGGCUAACUUCGUG